rnacentral:rRNA from 1 species
UUUUGGACAAUGGGCGAAAGCCUGAUCCAGCCAUUCCGCGUGAGUGAAGAAGGCCUUCGGGUUGUAAAGCUCUUUCGCAAGGGAAGAAAACUUAGGCGCUAAUAUCGCUUGAGGUUGACGGUACCUUAAUAAGAAGCACCGGCUAACUACGUGCCAGCAGCCGCGGUAAUACGUAGGGUGCGAGCGUCAAUCGGAAUUACUGGGCGUAAAGCGUGCGCAGGCGGUUUUGUAAGUCAGAUGUGAAAUCCCCGAGCUCAACUUGGGAACUGCGUUUGAAACUAUAAGACUAGAAUAUGUCAGAGGGGGGUAGAAUUCCACGUGUAGCAGUGAAAUGCGUAGAGAUGGGAGGAAUACCAAUGGCGAAGGCAGCCCCCUGGGAUAAUAUUGACGCUCAUGCACGAAA